rnacentral:rRNA from 1 species
UACGUAGGGGGCAAGCGUUGUCCGGAUUUAUUGGGCGUAAAGAGCGUGUAGGCGGCCGUACAGGUCAGCUGUGAAAACUCGAGGCUCAACCUCGAGACGUCGGUUGAAACCGUACGGCUAGAGUCCGGAAGAGGAGAGUGGAAUUCCCGGUGUAGCGGUGAAAUGCGCAGAUAUCGGGAAGAACACCCGUGGCGAAGGCGGCUCUCUGGGACAGUACUGACGCUGAGACGCGAAAGCGUGGGGAGCGAACAGG